rnacentral:rRNA from 1 species
GAUGAACGCUAGCGGCAGGCUUUAACACAUGCAAGUCGAGGGGGUAUAGUUCUUCGGAGCUAGAGACCGGCGCACGGGUGCGUAACGCGUAUGCAAUCUACCUUUUACAGAGGGAUAGCCCAGAGAAAUUUGGAUUAAUACCUCAUGGUAUAUAUCAUUCGCAUGUUUGAUAUAUUAAAGUUCCAACGGUAAAAGAUGGGUCUGCGUCUGAUUAGCUAGUUGGCGGGGUAACGGCCCACCAAGGCGACGAUCAGUAGCCGGUCUGAGAGGAUGAACGGCCACAUUGGGACUGAGACACGGCCCAGACUCCUACGGGAGGCAGCAGUGGGGAAUUUUCCGCAAUGGGCGAAAGCCUGACGGAGCAAUACCGCGUGAGGGAAGAAUGCCUAUGGGUUGUAAACCUCUUUUUCCAGGGAGGAAUCAAAUGACGUGUACCUGAAGAAUAAGCAUCGGCUAACUCCGUG